GACGAACGCUGGCGGCGUGCUUAACACAUGCAAGUCGAACGGAAAGGCCCUGCUUUUGUGGGGUGCUCGAGUGGCGAACGGGUGAGUAACACGUGAGUAACCUGCCCUUGACUUUGGGAUAACUUCAGGAAACUGGGGCUAAUACCGGAUAGGAGCUCCUGCUGCAUUGUGGGGGUUGGAAAGUUUCGGCGGUUGGGGAUGGACUCGCGGCUUAUCAGCUUGUUGGUGGGGUAGUGGCUUACCAAGGCUUUGACGGGUAGCCGGCCUGAGAGGGUGACCGGCAACAAUGGGACUGAGAGACGGCCCAGAAUCAUACGGGAGGCAGCAGUGGGGAAUAUUGCACAAUGGGAGGAAGCCGGAGGCAGCAACGCCGCGUGCGGGAUGACGGCCUUCGGGUUGUAAACAGCUUUAGCCUGUGACGAAGCGUGAGUGACGGUAAUGGGUAAAGAAGCACCGGCUAAAUACGUG
rnacentral:rRNA from 1 species